rnacentral:rRNA from 1 species
CCAGACUCCUACGGGAGGCAGCAGUGAGGAAUAUUGGUCAAUGGGCGCGAGCCUGAACCAGCCAAGUCGCGUGAGGGAAGACGGUCCUAUGGAUUGUAAACCUCUUUUGUCGGGGAGCAAAAGACGCCACGCGUGGCGUUCCGAGAGUACCCGAAGAAAAAGCAUCGGCUAACUCCGUGCCAGCAGCCGCGGUAAUACGGAGGAUGCGAGCGUUAUCCGGAUUUAUUGGGUUUAAAGGGUGCGUAGGCGGGCUUUUAAGUCAGCGGUAAAAAUUCGGGGCUCAACCCCGUCCGGCCGUUGAAACUGGGGGCCUUGAGUGGGCGAGAAGAAGGCGGAAUGCGUGGUGUAGCGGUGAAAUGCAUAGAUAUCACGCAGAACCCCGAUUGCGAAGGCAGCCUUCCGGCGCCCUACUGACGCUGAGGCACGAAAGUGCGGGGAUCGAACAGGAUUAGAUACCCUGGUA